CAAGCAGUCUGAGUGAUCGCAGGCGGAUGGUAUCCGCCUGAGGAAAGUCCGAGCUCCGCAGGGCAGGGUGCUGGGUAACGCCCAGUGAAGGCGACUUCAAGGAAAGUGCCACAGAAAUCAAACCGCCAUGCGCAGCGCGUCUAGCGCAUGGUAAGGGUGAAACGGUGCGGUAAGAGCGCACCAGCGUCCGGGCGACCGGCCGGCUAGGUAAACCCCACCUGGAGCAAGGCCAAAUAGGAGGGAUAUGAGGCUGCCCGCUUCUCCCUCGGGUUGGGCCGCUUGAGACUCAUGGUAACGUGAGCCCUAGAUAGAUGAUCACUCUCGACAGAACUCGGCUUACAGGGCUGCUUGUUGC
rnacentral:RNase_P_RNA from 1 species